GACGAAGGGGGCUAGCGUUGUUCGGAAUUACUGGGCGUAAAGCGAGUGUAGGUGGUUGUCCAAGUUGGAUGUGAAAGCCUUGAGCUCAACUCAAGAAAUGCAUUCAGGACUGGGCGGCUAGAGGACCGGAGAGGAUAGUGGAAUUCCCAGUGUAGAGGUGAAAUUCGUAGAUAUUGGGAAGAACACCGGUGGCGAAGGCGGCUAUCUGGCCCGUAAUUGACGCUGAGGCGCGAAAGCUAGGGGAGCAAACGGG
rnacentral:rRNA from 1 species